AUUGAACGCUGGCGGCAUGCCUUACACAUGCAAGUCGAACGGCAGCACGGGAGCUUGCUCCUGGUGGCGAGUGGCGAACGGGUGAGUAAUACAUCGGAACGUACCCAGGAGUGGGGGAUAACGUAGCGAAAGUUACGCUAAUACCGCAUAUUCUGUGAGCAGGAAAGCGGGGGAUCGCAAGACCUCGCGCUCUUGGAGCGGCCGAUGUCGGAUUAGCUAGUUGGUGAGGUAAAAGCUCACCAAGGCGACGAUCCGUAGCAGGUCUGAGAGGAUGAUCUGCCACACUGGGACUGAGACACGGCCCAGACUCCUACGGGAGGCAGCAGUGGGGAAUUUUGGACAAUGGGGGCAACCCUGAUCCAGCCAUGCCGCGUGAGUGAAGAAGGCCUUCGGGUUGUAAAGCUCUUUCGGCGGGGAAGAAAUGGCAACGGCUAAUAUCCGUUGUUGAUGACGGUACCCGCAUAAGAAGCACCGGCUAACUACGUGCCAGCCGCCGCCGCGGUAA
rnacentral:rRNA from 1 species